UUCCGGGUGGCGGCGGGAAGGCGCCGUCCGUCUGAGGGGCGACCGUUACCGACCGUUACCGGCCGUUACCGGGCCCAGCGCACGGCAGUCCGGCGGCCCACGGGUGCCGGUGGCUGAGGGAAGCAACUAUGGGAGAUACGCUUCUGCUAGCGAGACCUUCCUUCUUGGCUUGGAAAUUCCUCUACAGCAGGGUUUCCCACGCUGGGUUAGCCAACGCAUCAGCCCAUCGGAUGAAGUGCAGGAGCUCUGAGUACCUGCAGAAACACCCGUGUCGAAAUCCUAAAAGAAUCCCCAAUGUGCAGAAGGGGAAAUUCCUGUAAGACAGCAGAGGCAGGGAGCAACCUCAGGUAAGUGCAGGAAUACCUAGGAUAUGCUGAUGUCUGGACUGCGUGCGGGGUGGGAGGAGUUGGGCCUUCCUGAGGUGGGUGCCAGAGGUUAUGUAGCUGUGCUUACGUAGCCAACAGUCUUGAACAUCUUGAUUGUUAUUGGUCAUUGAUUAGCAACUUUCUGAACCUCUGUUUAUUUCUCUCUCUCCCUCUUUUUUAUUUAUGCAUUCUGUCGAAUUAAUAUAUUACAGAAUCUAGUGUAGCAGUUCUUUCAAACUACAUUUGCUGUGUUUCUUCAUGUUGUGUGAAGUGACCUUUCUGUCAGACUCUGAUUACGCUUGCCCAGCUAUGCCUGCCUAAACCGUUGGGAGCACGCAGAGAUUGUUUUUGCGAGUAAGACUUCUCAACUGUAUUGAAAAUUCCGUAUUGCUUUGAGCUAUCGUUCUUUCUUGGCAUAGCUCUGCUGAAAAGAUUACAAGUUCUUAAAGCUUGAUGGUUUAUACAGUCCUUCUAAUCUAAUUCAAAGGCUCUUGAUAACUGUUUUUUAGCUUGCAAAACCUGUGGGAAAAAACUCCACUAAUAUUAAUACAUUAUGUAUGAGCAGACCAAAUAGGGCCAUUUUUGCUGUCAUCUAGUGUUAAUAUGAGGACAUCCCAGUGUUUCUUAUGGUUAAGUGAAUUUCUCUGUUGUUAGUUACUGUGGUAGCUGACAUCUUGUUUAACAGAAGAAUUCUUAAAAAAACUUCAGACAGGAAUGUGUUGUCUUCAUGAUAGUGAUCACUAUCACAUUCCAAUAGUAACAGUUGUAUCAAAAAGAAAUACUGACUGGCAAGAAGCCUCUCUUGAGUCCCACAGAAAAUAAUAUUUGUGAUUAAAAUACAUGUCACCCCAGUGGUAGUUAUAGCUGAUCUCUGUUGUUGUUGUACAAUUCAUGUUCGUAAAAGUAACGUAGAACAUUGUGUGCUGUGUGGAAUUACAGUGCACACCCUUAAUAUCUCUAUAACAAAACAAAUGUUCUCAACAUGGACUUUGAUACACCCUCUCUGUUCUUUGCUUUUAUAACAUUAGUUUGUCAGGGUAAAUCUUCAGAGAUACAUUUAAGAGAUACCUGAUAUUUUAAAAUUGUUUAUUUCAGCCGGUUAUAGAAUGUAACACAGCAAUGAGUCCAGCUGUCUUUCAGAAGAGGAGAGUCUCGUAUGUUUUAUGUCAGAUGCUUGCACGUGUUUUUUUGAAUAGUACCAGUGGCUUAUAUUCUGUUAUACUUGGGGGGUGUGCAUGUUUUCCUCUUUUUAAGUUAGUCUAAAAAGGAUAUUAUGCCUUCGGCCUUGUGUCAGUGUUUACUCUGGAUUUGAUGUUUUACCAUGGAGUUGAAGCAUCUGUGCAGACUCUUGCAUCCUUUUCAGUUCAUUAUCUAUAUGCUAGUACUAUAUGGAUUUCAGUUUAAAUCAUACCACAGUCAGAGGAAUGAUCUCACUCAUAUGAAAAUACCUUUUUAUUUUCCAUGUGCGACUACAUUGUGAACCUACGUCCAAAGCUAAAGCAUAAAAUUGGCUGACCUUGCAGCUGUUAAUUUUGCUGUCUACUUACCAGCUGUUCAGUUUUUGUUUGCUUCUCUAAAAGGGGUUUUGUUAAGCACAGAAACAGAAUCUAUUCUUUGCUUUCAGUAACCAUUUCACUACCAAGUCCUCCAGGGGUGAUCACGUCCUUUGGCACUUGUUUAAUUGUUCUAGCUGAACCAUUUCACUUAACGUAUCUGGAAGACUUCUGUCUAGUCAGUUGUUUUAACUUAAGUAACUCACUGAAAUUGAGAACAUUUCCUAGCAGUGUAGAUACAGCCCCAAAAGUUCGUGACUGAGACAGUCUUGCAGCUGUCUGUUGCAGUUCUCAGGGGAAAUUGUGUAUUUUCCUCAUUCUGGCUAGAAGAAAUCUGGACAAAUUUCUUCCCAUGUUUUCUCUUACAUCCUCCCCUCUUCCCCAACGCUUGUUAGUUGGGAAAUAAAUUCUAUAGUUUUGAAAACUGCUAGGUUUUUACAUUCACAUCUAAAUCUAAAUUAAAGCAAACUUUCUCAUUGGCAUUCAUUCCAGAGUCAGUGGACUAAACUAUGUCCGAGAAUUAAAUUGGAGCAGAGCAAAAGCUUCACUAUAGUUAAGAUUGAAAAACCCCUCUUUGUUCAAAAUUGAACUCUUCUACUAUUCUGAAAUCCCUGUGUUUACUUGGAUGUGUUGAAAUUUAUCAUGCAGUAAGGGAUUAGUGUUCUGAGUUUUGGAUCAGCUGAUUGGGGAUUUUUGAAAUACAAAAGAAAAACCUUUGAAUAAACAUGCAUGACACUCAUAAACUGAGCAGCUUCUGCUAUCUUUGUAUGAACUAGGUGAAUGAGAAGCUUUCCAAUUCUUCUGUGUGCUGUGCUUUUUUUGAAGCAUUCUGUGGAGUCUGAGGUUUAAAAUUGGAGGCAUAAUCUAGAUGUAUUAUUUUUUAGCCAAAUCCAUUCCUCAAUGUGGUUUAGAAUGUAGCCCCAAAAAGAGCACAGCUGUCACAGCUGGAGGGGCGGUCUGGGGGCUGGUAAGGAAUGGCGCUGUUGAACCAGUGUUGUUACCAGACACAGUUUUGAGAGGAUAGAUUUCUUAUCUGGGUGGUAAUUUGGGAAGAAUCUGUGACUCUGUAAGGGGAGGAGAAUGUCCGAGUUAUCCUUCUGUGUGUUAGGAAAAGGGAGGAUAGUUGCAAUCAUCACUGAGGUGAACAAAUGUUCUCUUUUACCUUCUGAGAACACUGCAUUGAAAUAAUGGAUUGGUAUGCUCACCUUUAACUUCUAAAAGCUGGAAAUUGCUGGAUUUCUGUGACACUUGCUCUAUCUGAAGGGAGCUCAGUGUAGCAUAUGUGACCCAUUUUUGGUCUCUUGAAAUGCUCUCAUCUGCUCCAGUUUCCUCCUUUAGCAUUUUUCAAGUUUUGGUUGAUAGGUUCUUCUGUGUGUAGACCAAAUGAAUGAAAUAAUGUCUAUUAAUAGAUUCUCAGGGGGGCUGGCUUGCUCAGCAUUUAUCCCAGGUAGAGCAUGGAACUGAGCACACUUUUGAAAAGCAAUAUCAAAUGCAAUAUUUGGAAAAUAACUAAACUCUGCAGGUAAGAGUGAACCUAAUAUUCAGGAUUUGGGGUAUCUAUUUCGUAAGCAUCAAGGUCUGGUUCCCAUGUUGCUUUGAGAUCUGCAAGUAUAUCCUGCAGAUAAUCCAAAUAAAAGCUUCUGAAAGCAGGAAAUACAAAAUUAUGGUGUUUUAUUUCAUCCUUUUGCAUAUCUUUUGUUUUUUAUUCUGUUCAAGCACAAAAUCACCUGGUUUGGGUCCUGUGGAGGUUUGUGCAGACUGACGCUGUGCAUGUGUGCUUUCCAGCCAGAUGUGAUCCGAGGAUGGCAGUCAAGCCAUUUGUUCUGUGGAGGCCACUGAGGAACUGUAACUUUCACCUGCUUAGGAGGACUCUUGAUGGGUGUGCCACCUAUCAUGGAGACUGUAUCCAUCCAGCUGCUCACAGUAUCCACAGCAGGGAGGCUUUGGGAGUCGCCACUGAGACAAACUGUAUGCCAUGCAGUACUAAAGGAAGACAUGCAGGAUUUCUAAGCAGUGUGUGUGUCUCCUAGUUGUUUGCUUACCAUAUGUAUCGGGCAAAAUUAAGGAUUUGUCCCAUUUUCUUCCAGAUGGUUUUGUAUCAUUAUGCAGGGUUAGAACUUUACUGUGUUGCUACAGCUGAUCUGGAACUAUGCCUAGCCCAUUGAAUGCAGAUGAUACGUUUGUGAAUAAUUUCUAUUAUUAUUGCUGUUUUCAGGAGGCACAAUUAAGUUUGAGGAUUUGAACAUUAACAAUAUUUCCUGAGCUUCAGAUUUUUGUUCAUCUCCUCCAUCUCAGAAGAAAAAUGUUUUGUUGAAUUUGGUGUUAAUUUCUUCCAUUCAUUUAUUUUGUUUUUAAUUUAAGAUGUGAAUGCUGCUAUUUUCCUCCUUGCUAUUUGAAUCAUGCAGAGCUUGGGAGAAAGGGCAGUCAAAUUUAUAAUACUCUUGCUUUUAUAUUGUAAGGAUUGACUUUUUCAAGGGAUGUCUACAGAGAUCUUCAUUCACACCUUCGACUUUUCAAGGGUGUUGCAGGUCUUUGUAGAUACGGUGUUUUACUCGGUAACUAAAGCUCUAAUGAAGUUUCGCUACAGUGAGCAGCUCUUAGCUGUUUUUUCAGAUGUAAAAUACUAGGGUACUGUUACCUUCCAGGUGUCCCUUUAUAAUUUGUUGGAAUUUUUGUUUGAAGAAUGGACAUUAUUUGCAUGUAGAUAGUAAACUACCUGUCUGUUAGAUGGAACUAGCUGUUAAUUUUAGAACUGUUUAAAUUUUAGUUGGCCAACACUGUGUUAUAAAGGAGCAUUCCCAUUCUGUUUAGUUUAAAUAGGAGUCAGCCUAAAGGAGAAGGAACAAAGCACUGUCAUCCACACAUUAUACUUACUUUGUGGCAGGAUCCAUGUGUUCCAGGAUCAUCAGUGUUUUAGAACUAACCUUCAAAAAAAUCUCAAAAGUUACAUGGUAUCAUAUGAAUCAGUUUGUAUUGCUCAUAUUAGUUAAGGAUGCAUGGUAAGUGUUGCCUUGACCUUAAAGAAACCUACAUGGCUUACACUGAUUUAAGAGACUUCCACAAGAGGGUGCACCAGUUCAACAAAAUCCUGUAUAAAGCAAAUGAGCACGUCCCCAUUGUGGGCAUAUUUUCUAUCAUUUUAUGUAUUAACUCAUGUAUCUAAAUCAACUUCUAAAACUGGAUGGAUGCUUUAAUCAGUUUAAUGUCUCAGAGCGUCUCUCCAGUCUGUAACAGAUACAUGAAUGGAUACAUGAUGUUUUGCUGGUAAGCAAGUCAGGAAGUUUAAUUUUGAACAAAAGGCACUGUUUCCAGAAGUCCUGUUCACGCUGAUGAAAGGCUGUUUUUAGACUCCAGUCACAAAAUGAUAUUUAGAUGUUUGGGAUUUUUUAGUGUACUGAAAUGUGUUACCUGUUCCUAAUUUAUGCCUGAUGCCCUGCAAAUGCUCACUACUUGCAUUUUAAGAAUAAAGUUUGGGAAUUUUUUUUUUUUUUUUUUUUUUUUUUUUUUUUUUUUUUUAGUUUUGAAGCAUCAUUAAUUUUCUUCUCAGACUGGUACAACACUGGACAGUACAGCUGCAGAAGAGAACUCCACCUAGAAAGAUGACUUCUUGAGAGACUGCUGACUUGAGUAUGACUGAUACAAUUUUUUUCUGUUUCUAGUUUGUGAUAAAAUUAUUUCAUGUUUCAUAAGAUAGAUGGGAACUCUUAGUAACGCUUCACCUUAAGUUGUAUAAUGUUACUGUACUGAUACGCUAAAAGCAUUAAAGUGUUUUGCUGCAUAUGUAGGCCAAAGUUCUAGGUCCAUUCCUCUAAGACUGCAGUCCUAGGAUAGUAAGAUAUCUCUGCAGAAAUGAUUAACAAAUUUUCCAGGAAAAGGGCCUCACUUUUGAAUCAUGCUUUCCCUGACCAAAUACAUGAAUCAUAAAUCACUUACAGAGAUAAGAGUAUCUGACACUCAGCAAAAUAACUAGAAGUGUGGUGAUAUUCGUAUGUGUAAUACACGAUUUUUUUUUAUCUGUGAAAUGAUCUUUUCAGUAAACUUUUGGUUUUUAUUAAAUAAGAGAAAUGGAAUGGUGUGCUUUUAAAACUUUUAAUUACUAGUACAAGAUACUAAAAGAAGGUGAAUUUGAGACCAAGGAGAUUACUAUUUUUUGUUACUGCUAGCUGCAAAUGUAGAAGUUGGAUCUGGAUUCAAAAGGUUUCAUUUACUAACACUGAUGAAUUGGAACUACUCUAGUUUUGAUACUUUUCUUUUGAGCAGUGUAAAAGAAAAGAAUAUGAGGUUCUACUAAAAGAUCACCACCACACAGUGAAUAUGUCAUUUAACUAGCAAGAAGAUUUUUAUUUUAAAGACUAUGAACUAGCCACCUUUUUCCAUUUACACCAGUUCUAGAUUAUCAUUUGUAAGCAGAUGAGGGUUUGUUUUUUUACUUGCUUGUGGAUAGUACCAGACAAAUAAUCCGUGUUUAUAUUUUUCUUAAAAACACUGUGGUUUUAGGUCAUUGCUGUCCUCCAGAGAGCCAAAUACAUCUACCAGUCAGAUAUGCGAUACUGCUUAGUUAUCUAAGAUUCCUGGCUAUAUCUGAUUGCAAUAGGGCACAAGGAGGAAUAGUAAUUACUGUAGUUAUUCACUUACUGAUCAUCUUGCUCUGAAUAUAGUGGCAUUUUCAGAAGCAAUUCUUCAUUCUGACAGUGUGUGGAAGUCAGACGUUUUUAAAAACAUAGGUACACAACACAAAUGCCCCCCAGCAAAGAAGGGUCCCAGCUUCUUUUCUAAAAGGCUGUGGCAUGAAGCAUUUAUCACUCCCCAGAGGUCCUCCUUCUGACCUGAAGUUACAUGUACCACCCUGGCCAAAGUUCGGUUAAUGUUGAGUGUUUCCAGUGGAGGGAGACUUUAAUUAAUAGAAAAUUUCAUCUCAGCAUGUUUGGACCUUGACACUUCUGCCCUCCUAAUCUUCAGGAUGGACCAAAGUGAGAUGUAACCCACUAGGUGUCACUCCAGCAAAGGCUACCCGAAUACGGGUGUCGAGUAAACCUUUGUGGCCCUCCUCUCUUCCUUAGUGAAAACCGGCUCGCAUUAUUUCACCUUCAUAUAAACACAGCAAGCACUUUUUUAACUUCUAAAAAAACCUGGUUGAAAUUACGAGUCUUAGUAUUAAGAGGAAGGAUAAAAAUAUGCACAGAAAAUAAAAAUUAUAAAUAUUUUAUUUAGGCAAUAUUUUAUUUAUUGUAAGAGAGAAAAAACAAAACCUAUACAUAAUAGGUUGAGUCUGUUGGCAUAUGAUGAAAAAUGGACUAUUGCAAAAGUCUAAUAGGUAUGGAAGUGUUAACACAUCUUGAUAACAGGGUGAACUGAUGAGAGAUUGUCUUUUCCCAUCUGUUAACUUUUAAAAAAUGUCUGCAUCAUUGACAUUUCUUUUCCCUUGGUACUUACCUAACCUGACUUGCUGGCACUUGUCCACAUCAGAACAAGGGUAGGGCUUGAAACAUUAUUUGAAGGUGAUUAGCACUUUUCAUCAAGCAAUGGUAUGGAAAAGAACCAUCUACUUGGUUAAUUUUAAAGCAUUACAGUAAAAAUUAGCUACAUAAAUGAAUUCCUGAGUUUCAUAUUGAUUUCUGUAAUAAAUGUACAUCUUUUAUUCAGUACUGUAAAACGUUAAUAGAUUGAUUGUUUUUCCCACUGCUAAAUUAAAGUCAGAAGUUUAGUAUUUUUACUAAAAUAAAGGUGGUAUGACUUUGUAGUCUGUUGUUUCCUACUGCAAAUAAUGAUAAUGAUUCAGUAGCUUAAGAACAACUUUCAUUCCUUUUUCUUAUUUUCAGCAUUCAUAUCUGCUGCUACACAGUAAAGAAAGAGGCAUAUACAUUUGUAUGUGUUCUUUUUGAUUUUGAAGUGCUAAAUGUUUGAUCAAUGUGUCAAGUGCUGUUGUGUGAGUCAAGGGACCUGUGUCCUCUUCCAGUUGCUACCGAAUUGUUGCUUAACCUUGGAUAUGUCUCAUCCUGUAUUUUUGCUUAACUGUUAUAGCAGACAAUUAAGAUUAAGAAAAUAUCAAUAUAAUUACAUUACAUAAUAAUGAUAGUGUUAAGAAAAAAAAAGCCUGGAACUGUAGAUUUCAGUAUUUUAUGUAGUAAUAAUAUAUACUGAUUGUUUUACUUGUAUGUAGUGGAAAAUCCAGUGCUAAAAAGCAAUGAAAAAAAAAAAAGUAAAAAUGUUACAUAGUAACUGAUUAAAUGGGAGAAAUGAUAAAGAAGUUCUUGGAGGAAACUCGUACUACUGAAGUCAACUUCAUUCUCUUCUCGAUUUGCUGUGUAAAGUGAGGUAGGUUAUUUUAGACAUAUAGAGUAUAAGCACAUUGGGAACAGUAGCACUGAGAUUCCUCACAAGAGGAAUUUUUCUGAUGCCUUGAAAUCAUUGAAGACCACCUAAGAACAGUGUUACAUGUAGUCUUAAAACAAGUUACCUUCCAACCAAUAUAACUUCCUGUAAGCAUGAGUUUCAGUGACGCAGCUUCUGUGUUGAGUAGCAAGAUCUUGGGUUGAUAGCAGUGGUUUUGUGAUUAUGGUAUUAUCAAUUAAAUGAAUAAUCGUACUGUCAAUGAAAAGUAGUCUUGCAGUACUGAUGGCUUUGCAUGAUGACCUUGAAGCACUUUUUCUGGAAAAGCUGCUGUAUUUUCUGGAAAGGCCACCUUAGAUACUACAGAAAGGGGUGUGCCACAUAACACCACAUAACAUCCUGCCUUUUCUUUUCAGUAGUUUCAAUGUUCACCUGCUCCGUAAUUGAGAAGAGGAAAAUGUAAACAUGUUAAACGUUUUGGACAGUUGACUAAACUAGAUUGUGCAGUUCAGAAAGAUAUCCUGAAGGCAGGGAAGUAUUUUUAGCUUCAUUAACUUCUUUUCCUGGUUACAAAGAAUCAGGAGAAAAAGGUUUUAAAACCUGUUUGUCUGUGUACUGCGUUGGUUUUGCUCCCCAAAAUGUCAACCCACAACAUCCCCAAAACUGCAUCUGCAGGGAUUCUUAAUCUUUAGUGAGAGGGCUUCCUCACAUCCCUUGCUAGCCACCCACCGCCAGCAGUUUUUCCCUCUGAUUCGAUGGCAGAAGAUCUUUUAACAUAGCUUAGUUUUACCUUUACAUGAUGAAAACAGUAGCUUUUCCCCCAUGCGUUACUGCAAGUGGGCACAUCUAGCAUUACCAUGGCCCUCUUUUUUAGCUUUCCUUCAGGAACUUUUACUUUCCCUUGACAAGUAAGUUGACAGUAGUUUCUCAUUGUUUCUUCCACAAUGUGUACCUUAAAGGGAGCGCUCCAUUACAGCAGCCUAACAAAGGUCGUGAAGAAGCAGUUUGCAAGGUAAAGGCAUCCGAAGAACAUGUGAAAUACAGCUGUGGAAAAGGUUAGACUUUGAUUUCUGGGUCUCUUUGUUAAUUGGGUUAUAUUGGAACCUUCUUACCGUUGCCUGAUUUUAGAAUGGUGGUAUAUACCACUCUUAAACUUGUUGGGAGGGGAGAAGUUGUAGAGGACAGAGAAUGUGGAGUCUAACAGCUUGCUUUUCUGCUGGCAGAAAUACAUUGAGCUAAAAUAAGAGCUUGUGGCAGCAACUGCUCCUCUCCCUUUUCCUUCUUGCUGAAAAUGGAGAGAGCAAGAGUCUGUGCAAGAUGGACUUGGGAUGUAAUGGCUUCAGAGGAACUGAGAAGAUGCAGCACACCUUCUGUGUGCUGCCUUGUUCCCCACCAUCCUUCCAGUUCCCACCAUUUGUUGACUUCACUUCAUAUAAAACAUCAGAAAAGGACAGUUAACCUUCCUGUAAUGGGCCGUGUUUUAAGAAUGUUCAUUGUGCAAGUACUGAGGUAGAAAUGGAGGUCUUGUUUCUGUGACUAGAAAAAAACAUGUUGCAGCCUGAGAACUUUUUCUUUGUGUGAACAUUUAAGUCAAAGACAUUUCCCUUCUUUCAUCAGCAAAGAAGUGAAGUGUGCAUACUGAUUAUUCCAUUAUUUGCAAGUCAGAAUUGUAAAUUGCUGCAUUCACUCUGAUGCAGUUUACCAUCUGAAAGAAAUAAUUAAAGCUUGCUUUCUCUUGCUUAAGAUUUAAACGUGUAUUUAAAAAUGAGAUCAUACUUUCAUGGUGGUCAUAGUUUCUUUAUGUAUUUGUGUGGGGUAGCCUCAGAAAUGGGUGUAUGAUCUGCUGGUGUGCUGUGAUGUAUUUCCUUUAAUUAUACAUUCGUUUUGAGAAAGAUGGUUAUUCCAGGCCUCCGUCUUUCCACAGUUACAUCCUUACAAGCCCACUGCAGUGGGAGUUGUGCGUACCUUGGUGUGUAGUUCAGCCAUAUGUGCUACUUAUUUAUAUCUCGUGCAUGACAUAAGCUAUUGCAAACAGAUAAUUCCUGUUCUGGUAAUAGAAGAUGAAUGCAAGUGUCUAUACAGUUCUUUCUCACUAAAUGAGGAUAUGACACAUUGCUAGUCACCGUGCUUGGUACAGCUCUUGUGCCGAGUCCAGACGGAGUGUAAGGCUGUGCCUGUCUGAUGUUUCAGACACUCAAGAGUUCAAUUAAUUUACAAAUGAUAAUUUGUUUUCAGCUCCUGUAGAUAUGGAUGCCUUCUUUACUCAGCCUCUAUUGUGUCGUUCUAUAAGAAGUCAGCUCCAACUGCAUGAAGCUCAAUUUUUGUAAUUUGUUUGUAGAAAUGCCAUAUUCUCCCUGCAUUAUAAACACAGCUGUGCAGCAUUUUCAAAACGCACUGUAAAGCUUGUGCCAUCUUAGAAUGACAGUUUGUUUCCAGAUGCCUGUAUUUUCUGUAUAGGUAAUUUCAUCAAAUCACCGAGCACAAGGAAUGAAAGGCUGGCUUUAUUUAAAAAGAAAACAAUAACGCAAAUAACAGGUGUUCCGUCAACAUAGAUUUUGCCUUCUGAAGUUAUUUACCUCUUUGCAAGUUAUUUUAUCUGGCCAUGUUAGUGAUGCAGAUGCACUUAGUUCUGGUGGUGUCACAUCCGUGCGAGCUGAUGGGCAUGUCCUGCUGAAAUUCACUACAGCAAAACAAGCGUGUGAUUCACCGGGGAAGCGUCCCAGGCCCUCACGCCAGCGGCCGAACUGACCCACCGUGCUCUCUCACACGCGCAGCUCGCAGCCAAAAGAUGACAGCACGCUAAUGGCUUUUGGUCAAAAGAAAGUUAACUACGCUCUUAACGAGUUCCACCUAUAAAAUACGCCACGUAAGUAAGUGGUAACUUACUGUAA